AGUUUGCGUUCUCUAAAGCUAAGGUCAUUUUCAAUACCCAUUGCGAGUUUUGUUUCAUUUGCUUAUAUGUUGCAUUCGCUAUGCAAUGAUACAAUAUCAGAAUAAAUUUUUAUUACUUAAAGUUUUAUAUGCAGAUCUUCAAAAUGUUUCCACGUAAGACAUAAAUAUCUAGCAGAUAUUUUCCUGUUUUCCCUGUGGAGUUCCUUCAGAUAAACGUGUGUGUACCAAUUCAUACACUGCUGAGGACAUCUUUUUUUCUACUUGGGUUUGAGUACCAUCACAGAAGUGUUUUCCAUGCGUUGGAAACCAGCUGCAGUUACAGUUGGUACAGGCAUAAAGUCACUGGGUGCCUGGGGAGGGAAUUUUUAGGGCAGGUCUCUUCAGCUCGUGAUGCCUGUCUUUCCCGUCCCUGCGGCGCGGCCGAGAAGCUGUGCUGGUGGCGAUGGCGAACCGUGAGCCUGGGCCAUCCCUGCGAGCCAGGGCCAUCCCUGCGAGAGAGGCAGAGCGGGAGCUCUGGAGGGAAGGCAAAGUCGAUGGUGCCUGGCGAAAGCUUGCAGAGGUGAUGUGGCUGCCGCUCUGCACACCUGGUGCCGCACGGCUGCGGGCAGGCCCGCAACUCGUGUGUUGCAGCAGAAAUAUGUGUUCCCAGGGCUGUCCGAGAGAAGCAUGUGAAAAAUGUUUACAGCUGUCCUCUGAAGUGUCCUCGUGUGCAGCGGCCUCCUGAAGUGCAUCCUCCAGUAGUGGCACCCCACAAGCAGAUCCUGAUCUCGCUCGAGUGGCCAGAGAAGACUCGAGGUGGCUCUUCCCACUGUGACUUCUUGCACGUUUGGAAUGCUUCAAAAUAUUAAAAAUAUGUCAGGGGAAAAAGUCAAUAAAAGCAGUCUUUACUUUUUGUCAGUA